rnacentral:ncRNA from 1 species
AAUGGAUGGCGCUUAAGUUGUAUACCUAUACAUUACCGCUAAAGUAGAUGAUUUAUAUUAUUUAUAAUAUAAAUUUUGAAACUUUAGUGAGUAGGAAGGUACAAUGGUGUGCUUAGAAGUGUUUGGCGUAAGCCUGCAUGGAGCCGCCAUUGGUACAGAUCUUGGUGGUAGUAGCAAAUAAUCGAAUGAGACCUUGGAGGACUGAAGUGGAGAAGGGUUUCGUGUGAACAGUGGUUGAUCACGAGUUAGUCGGUCCUAAGUUCAAGGCGAAAGCCGAAAAUUUUCAAGUUUUAAAAAUGUCAAAUGAAAUAAUAAAUAAUAAAACACUUGAAUAAUUUUGAACGAAAGGGAAUACGGUUCCAAUUCCGUAACCUGUUGAGUAUCCGUUUGUUAUUAAAUAUGGGCCUCGUGCUCAUCCUGGCAACAGGAACGACCAUAAAGAAGCCGUCGAGAGGUAUCGGAAGAGUUUUCUUUUCUGUUUUAUAGCCGUACUACCAUGGAAGUCUUUCGCAGAGAGAUAUGGUAGAUGGGCUAGAAGAGCAUGACAUAUACUGUUGUGUCGAUAUUUUCUCCUCGGACCUUGAAAAUUUAUGGUGGGGAUACGCAAACUUCUCAACAGGCCGUACCAAUAUCCGCAGCUGGUCUCCAAGGUGAAGAGUCUCUAGUCGAUAGAAUAAUGUAGGUAAGGGAAGUCGGCAAAUUAGAUCCGUAACUUCGGGAUAAGGAUUGGCUCUGAAGAUUGAGAUAGUCGGGCUUGAUUGGGAAACAAUAACAUGGUUUAUGUGCUCGUUCUGGGUAAAUAGAGUUUCUAUCAUUUGUGAUAGUUAUUUGUUCCCCGGAUAGUUAGUUACGUAGCCAAUUGUGGAACUUUCUUGCUAAAAUUUUUAAGAAUACUAAUUUUUAAUUAGUUCUUUUAAAUUAUAACGAUUAUCAAUUAACAAUCAAUUCAGAACUGGCACGGACUUGGGGAAUCCGACUGUCUAAUUAAAACAAAGCAUUGUGAUGGCCCUAGCGGGUGUUGACACAAUGUGAUUUCUGCCCAGUGCUCUGAAUGUCAAAGUGAAGAAAUUCAAGUAAGCGCGGGUCAACGGCGGGAGUAACUAUGACUCUCUUAAGGUAGCCAAAUGCCUGGGAAGCUGGGAAGCUGGGAAGCUGGGUCGGAUGAGCGCAGAAGGGGUGUUCUUUGGAACACUGUAAUUCAUAAGUCGUAAGUCUGAUCAAGUCGACUCGGAACCUCCUCGU